rnacentral:rRNA from 1 species
GAUGAACGCUGGCGGCGUGCCUAAUACAUGCAAGUCGAACGAACAGACGAGGAGCUUGCUCCUCUGACGUUAGCGGCGGACGGGUGAGUAACACGUGGAUAACCUACCUAUAAGACUGGGAUAACUUCGGGAAACCGGCGCUAAUACCGGAUAAUAUAUUGAACCGCAUGGUUCAAUAGUGAAAGACGGUUUUGCUGUCACUUAUAGAUGGAUCCGCGCCGCAUUAGCUAGUUGGUAAGGUAACGGCUUACCAAGGCAACGAUGCGUAGCCGACCUGAGAGAGGGAUAGGCCACCCUGGAACGGAGACACGGUCCAGACUCCUGCGGGAGGCAGCAGUAGGGAAUCUUCCGCAAAGGGCGAAAGCCUGACGGAGCAACGCGGCGUGAGUGAUGAAGGUCUUCGGAUCGUAAAACUCUGUUAUUAGGGAAGAACAAAUGUGUAAGUAACUAUGCACGUCUUGACGGUACCUAAUCAGAAAGCCACGGCUAACUACGUG